rnacentral:rRNA from 1 species
AACGAACGCUGGCGGCAUGCCUAACACAUGCAAGUCGAACGAGACCUUCGGGUCUAGUGGCGCACGGGUGCGUAACGCGUGGGACCCUGCCCUUAGGUUCGGAAUAACUCCCCGAAAGGGGUGCUAAUACCGGAUCAUGUCUUCGGACCAAAGAUUUAUCGCCUUUGGAUGGGCCCGCGUUGGAUUAGCUAGUUGGUAGGGUAAAAGCCUACCAAGGCGACGAUCCAUAGCUGGUCUGAGAGGAUGAUCAGCCACACUGGGACUGAGACACGGCCCAGACUCCUACGGGAGGCAGCAGUGGGGAAUAGUGGACAAUGGGCGAAAGCCUGAUCCAGCAAGGCCGCGUGAGUGAUGAAGGCCUUAGGGUUGUAAAGCUCUUUUACCCGGGAUGAUAAUGACAGUACCGGGAGAAUAAGCUCCGGCUAACUCCGUG